rnacentral:rRNA from 1 species
UUGGAGGGCAAGUCUGGUGCCAGCAGCCGCGGUAAUUCCAGCUCCAAUAGCGUAUAUUAAAGUUGUUGCAGUUAAAAAGCUCGUAGUUGAAUUUCGGGGUUCUACCGUUGGUCGGGCAAUAGUCUGUACUGGCGUGUAGAAUUUCUACCUUCUGGGGAACUAUCAUGUUAUUUAUUUAGCGUGGUAGGAAACCAGGACCUUUACCUUGAAAAAAUUAGAGUGUUCAAAGCAGGCUUACGUCUGAAUACAUUAGCAUGGAAUAAUAAAAUAGGACGGUGGUCCUGUUUUGUUGGUUUCUGAAUCACCGUAAUGAUUAAUAGGGAUAGUUGGGGGCAUUAGUAUUCAAUUGUCAGAGGUGAAAUUCUUGGAUUUAUUGAAGACUAACUUCUGCGAAAGCAUUUGCCAAGGAUGUUUUCAUUAAUCAAGAACGAAAGUUAGGGGAUCGAAGACGAUCAGAUACCGUCGUAGUCUUAACCAUAAACUAUGCCGACUAGGGAUCGGACGAUGUUAAUUUUUCUUGACUCGUUCGGCACCUUACCGGGAAAAC